GCCGCAAACCGACACAGGUAGAUGAGGAGAGAAUCCUAAGGCCAACGGGAGAAAGGUUGUUAAGGAACUCGGCAAAAUUGCCCCGUAACUUCGGGAGAAGGGGCGCCUCCGAAAGGAGGCCGCAGUGAAAAGGCCCAAGCGACUGUUUACCAAAAACACAGGUCUCUGCUAAAUCGAAAGAUGACGUAUAGGGGCUGACGCCUGCCCGGUGCUGGAAGGUUAAGAGGAGAGCUUAGCGCAAGCGAAGGCUUGAAUUUAAGCCCCAGUAAACGGCGGCCGUAACAAUAACGGUCCUAAGGUAGCGAAAUUCCUUGUCAGGUAAGUUCUGACCCGCACGAAUGGCGUAACGAUUUGGGCGCUGUCUCAACAGCCUACCCGGCGAAAUUGUAGUACCGGUGAAGAUGCCGGUUACCCGCAACUAGACGGAAAGACCCCAUGGAGCUUUACUGCAGCUUAAUACUGAGAUUCGGUAAUUCAUGUACGGGAUAGGUGGGAGACUUGGAAACAGGGGCGUCAGCUUCUGCGGAGUCACCCUUGGGAUACCACCCUUGGAUUGCUGGGUUUCUAACCUGCGGCCAUGAAUCUGGUCGGGGGACACUGUUAGGCGGGCAGUUUGACUGGGGCGGUCGCCUCCUAAAAAGUAGCGGAGGCGCUCAAAGCUUGGCUCAGCAUGGAUGGAAAUCAUGCAAUGAGUGUAAACGUAUAAGCCAAGUUGACUGCGAGACCGACGGGUCGAGCAGGGACGAAAGUCGGAGUUAGUGAUCCGGUGGUAUGUGAGUGGAAAUGCCAUCGCUCAACGGAUAAAAGCUACCCUGGGAUAACAGGCUGAUCUCCCCCAAGCGUCCACAGCGACGGGGAGGUUUGGCACCUCGAUGUCGGCUCGUCGCAUCCUGGGGCUGUAUUCGGUCCCAAGGGUUUGGCUGUUCGCCAAUUAAAGCGGCACGCGAGCUGGGUUCAGAACGUCGUGAGACAGUUCGGUCCCUAUCUGUUGCGGGCGUAAGAGAUUUGAAGGGAGCUGUCCUUAGUACGAGAGGACCGGGAUGGACUGACCUCUGGUGCACCAGUUGUUCUGCCAAGGGCAUAGCUGGGUAGCUACGUCGGAACGAGAUAAACGCUGAAGGCAUCUAAGCGUGAAACUCCCCCUAAGAUAAGAUCUCUCAUCCUGAAAAGGAGUAAGGCUCGUCGUAGACUAUGACGUUGAUAGGUCAGGGGUGGAAGCACAGUAAUGUGUGCAGCUGACUGAUACUAAUAAGCCGAGGGCUUGAUC
rnacentral:rRNA from 1 species